ACAAGCAGAAGCAGGAGGAGGGGCAGAAGGAGAGGGAAAAGAAGGGAGCCCGAUGUGGGACUCGAUCCCAGGAAUCCAUCAUGAAGAGAGACACUUAGCAAACUGAGCUGCUCAGGUGCCCUUAACUCCAGCAUCUUAUAGCUUUUUCUGCCUAUAGAAACUGAGAAGAAAUGGCCAACUUUUUAAAUGAGGGUGUCUCAAGAAAACACAGAAGUUGAUUCCAGAGUUCAGAAUGACCCAGGUUGGAAUGCUGGCUUGACCUCUUCUGGCUGGUACUUGAGAAAAGUCACCCGAACAAGGCCUCCAACCUUCUCUUUUUGAGAGUUUCCUCCUUGGAAGAUUUCAUCUAAUUCCAAGCCUUGAAAAGCUUUCACCGUGAUCACUAACUGCCCGUCUGCCUGCCAGUGCUCACUGCCCUGAGCGUCUAAUCAAGCCCCCCGGCUGAGCUGGGCGGGCAGCCAGCCCGGAGCUUCUCCACCUCACACACAGCACCCGCCCAGCCUGCCGCCCGAGCCUCCAGAAGCCGAGUCCUCCCUUUUUGUCUUGUCCCACAGCCAAUCCUCUAUCCAGUCAUUACUCCUGCCCCUACGGUCCACCCGGCGUGUCCGCCUCUGUCUCCACAGUAACUUCCAGGUCCGAAGCCACCAACAUGUCUGGUCUGGUCUCCCCGUCCCUCUGGAAGCUUCUGGAACACCAGCCACCAGCGGCUGGAGACGUAGUCUGACAAGUAUCCCCGAUUCAGUGUAUGGCCCACAUCUGCAGGACAGCGGGGCUGAAUGCCUUCUCUGUUCGCCCCUGCCUGAGUCUUCUGUCCUCCAAACCAAGUCAACUGUUUCUGGUAUCAAAGCUGCUGCGUCCAUGGCCAGACCUUCACUCACAGGAUUCCUCUGCCAACGAGUGAGGAGUGGAGGUAUCCUCAGAUGCCUGAAAGGAACCAAACUGCCCGCUAUUGUUCAGCUU